AUUGAACGCUGGCGGCAGGCUUAACACAUGCAAGUCGAGCGAGCGGCGGACGGGUGAGUAAUGUCUGGGAAACUGCCUGAUGGAGGGGGAUAACUACUGGAAACGGUAGCUAAUACCGCAUACCAUCAGAUGUGCUCACAGGGGUUUAGCUAGUCGGUGGGGUAAUGGCUCACCUAGGCGACGAUGCCUAGCUGGUCUGAGAGGCUGACCUGCCACACGGGCACUGAGAAACGGUCCAGAAUCGUACGGGAGGCAGCAGGUGGGAAUAUUGGACAAGGGGAGCAAGCCGGAUGCAGCCAUGCCGCGUGUGUGAAGAAGGCCUUCGGGUUGUAAAGCACUUUCAGCGAGGAGGCGUUACUCGCAGAAGAAGCACCGGCUAACUCCGUGCCAGCAGCCGCGGUAAUUC
rnacentral:rRNA from 1 species